GGAAAGUACUUAAUUGCCCCUUUGUGUUCUGCCUCAGCCACGUGGAUGCAUUGGUUGUGUUUCUAUGCUCACUUCAUAUUUCCUUUUCUCACUCACUUCACGUUUCCUUUGUCUUCAACCUUCUCUCUCUCUCUCUUUUCUCUUUCUAUCAUGACUAUUGUCUUUCUCCUUCCUCUUCAUUAACCUUCUUCCUCUUCCUCAAGCUUCAUUCUAACACAACAUCGUCACCAUGAUCUGGUAUGGUUUGUUUGCUCAACCUAUGGAAUUUGUGACUUCUAUGUUGUUUAUUAACAUGAUUAUUUUUUUCAGAUCUAAUGCUUCCAUGGUAGGGUUUUGAUUUCGUUGUCUGUGUGGUCGGAGUUGAAUCACAUACGACGAAGAAGACGCUGAUUUUCCUCAGAUUUUAGAGGUCGGAUUUUUACUUUAUUAUUUUAUUUUCAUUUCAAAAUCUCCAUAUCUUUCAGUUUUACCCUUUUUAGAUCUGUAAGCGUUCAAUCGCAGAUAUCCAGAGCGGUUCGUUGAUCGAACCUUUUCAGAUCCCCUUUUCAUAUGGUCACUACUAUCCAUACCAUUGAUCUGUAGCGGCAUCAACGGGUUACCGACGAUUAGUGUGGUGGGGGUGGAAAUGGGUUUCCGACGACGAGUGUGGUGGUGGUCCGAUUCGAAAAGGUUUAUGUAUGACAUUUUCAAAUUAGGUUUCGUUAUUAACUUUCUUUUGUAGAAAGUGUAGGAUUUGAACUAAUUAUUAUAGAUCUGAUAUUAUUAUUAUAAAUCUCAAAACUCGCUCAUUUGGUGAUGGAUUUAUCUUAUGUGUUCGAUCACGGUGGCCGCCGGUGAUUAAUUAGAAUCAAGACAGCAGGCUAUCAGGAAUAAAUUUAAGUCGACUCCAGAUAAACAAGCACCAAGUAUUAGAGAGGGUUCCUCGUGCUGAAUUGGACGAUGCCAGACACUGGAGGACAGUUACCUUUGGGCGGCAUGGUAGACGAUCCGGUUGAUCGUAACUAAUACAGGAAAAGGUUUGCAGAGUUUUUGAAUGGUGAGACUUGCUUCUUUUUUCUAAAACAGUGGCUGGAGCUAUUUACUUCAGGUAUUAAAAUUUUGAACAUCUAAGGCUUAGAGUCCGAGUUUUGGAAUUCGAGAGAGCAUUCCAACGCGUUUUGGAAAGGUAUUAAUUGAUAUAAGGCUUAGAGUCCGAGUUUUGGAAUUCGAGAGAGCAAUCCAACGCGUUGCGACUGUGCAGAAAACAAUUUUUGUUGUACAAUCACAACGAAUUCUAUCCAUCUUAAAGUUGUGGUUUUUCUAAUGGUUUUGAUCUCAAUGGAUUUACAUUUGCUUAUGGUUUAUGGUCUAUUUUGUGUUUUGUUGGGUUUUGCAGAAUGUUCAACGAGAUUGUUCCGGCGA